rnacentral:rRNA from 1 species
AGUGAACGCUGGCGGUAGGCCUAACACAUGCAAGUCGAACGGCAGCACAGUAAGAGCUUGCUCUUACGGGUGGCGAGUGGCGGACGGGUGAGGAAUACAUCGGAAUCUACUUUUUCGUGGGGGAUAACGUAGGGAAACUUACGCUAAUACCGCAUACGACCUACGGGUGAAAGCAGGGGAUCUUCGGACCUUGCGCGAUUGAAUGAGCCGAUGUCGGAUUAGCUAGUUGGCGGGGUAAAGGCCCACCAAGGCGACGAUCCGUAGCUGGUCUGAGAGGAUGAUCAGCCACACUGGAACUGAGACACGGUCCAGACUCCUACGGGAGGCAGCAGUGGGGAAUAUUGGACAAUGGGCGCAAGCCUGAUCCGGCCAUACCGCGUGGGUGAAGAAGACCUUCGGGUUGUAAAGCCCUUUUGUUGGGAAAGAAAAGCAGCAGGUUAAUACCCCGCUGUUCUGACGGUACCCAAAGAAUAAGCACCGGCUAACUUCGUG